rnacentral:siRNA from 1 species
GGAUUUGCAGGAGCUAAUAAAGUU